rnacentral:rRNA from 1 species
UACGGGGGGGGCAAGCGUUGUUCGGAAUUACUGGGCGUAAAGCGCGUGUAGGCGGCUCUUCAAGUCGAGUGUGAAAGCUCCAGGCUUAACCUGGGAAUUGCGCUCGAUACUGUUGAGCUAGAGUGUGGAAGGGGCUACUGGAAUUCCGUGUGUAGCGGUGAAAUGCGUAGAUAUACGGAGGAACACCUGCGGCGAAGGCGGGUUGCUGGGCUGACACUGACGCUGAGGCGCGAAAGCUAGGGGAGCGAACGGG